rnacentral:rRNA from 1 species
UCCUUAGAUGUCCUGGGCUGCACGCGCGCUACACUGAUGUGUCCAGUAAGCACCUAACCUCUUCCGAAAGGAACGGGUAACCUUUGCAAAGCACAUCGUGAUGGGGAUAGAUUAUUGCAAUUAUUAGUCUUGAACGAGGAAUUCCUAGUAAGCACAAGUCAUCAGCUUGUGUUGAUUACGUCCCUGCCCUUUGUACACACCGCCCGUCGCUCCUACCGAUUGAAUGUUCCGGUGAGCUCUUCGGACUGCGCGGUCUGCAGUUCCUGCGUUCCGUGCGGAAAGUUGCGCAAACCUUAACAUUUAGAGGAAGGAGAAGUCGUAACA